rnacentral:rRNA from 2 species
UCGGAGUGCCGGGUGCUAUACAUGCAGUCGAGCGACUGAUUAGAAGCUUGCUUCUAUGACGUUAGCGGCGGACGGGUGAGUAACACGUGGGCAACCUGCCUGUAAGACUGGGAUAACUCCGGGAAACCGGAGCUAAUACCGGAUAACAUUUUCUCUUGCAUAAGAGAAAAUUGAAAGAUGGUUUCGGCUAUCACUUACAGAUGGGCCCGCGGUGCAUUAGCUAGUUGGUGAGGUAACGGCUCACCAAGGCAACGAUGCAUAGCCGACCUGAGAGGGUGAUCGGCCACACUGGGACUGAGACACGGCCCAGACUCAUACGGGAGGCAGCAGUAGGGAAUCUUCCGCAAUGGACGAAAGUCUGACGGAGCAACGCCGCGUGAGUGAUGAAGGCUUUCGGGUCGUAAAACUCUGUUGUUAGGGAAGAACAAGUACAAGAGUAACUGCUUGUACCUUGACGGUACCUAACCAGAAAGCCACGGCUAACUACGUGCCAGCAGCCGCGGUAAUACGUAGGUGGCAAGCGUUAUCCGGAAUUAUUGGGCGUAAAGCGCGCGCAGGCGGUUUCUUAAGUCUGAUGUGAAAGCCCACGGCUCAACCGUGGAGGGUCAUUGGAAACUGGGGAACUUGAGUGCAGAAGAGAAAAGCGGAAUUCCACGUGUAGCGGUGAAAUGCGUAGAGAUGUGGAGGAACACCAGUGGCGAAGGCGGCUUUUUGGUCUGUAACUGACGCUGAGGCGCGAAAGCGUGGGGAGCAAACAGGAUUAGAUACCCUGGUAGUCCACGCCGUAAACGAUGAGUGCUAAGUGUUAGAGGGUUUCCGCCC